rnacentral:rRNA from 1 species
UUGAACGCUGGCGGCAUGGCUAAAACAUGCAAGUCGAACGCGAAUUAGGGGCAACCCUAUAGUAGAGUGGCGAAAGGGCGAGUAAUGCGUUUCUAAUGUACCUCAGACUCGGGGAUAGCUCACCGAAAGGUGAAUUAAUACUCGAUGAUACUGCCGGGCCGUAUGGCCUGGUUGUCAAAGGCUUGCUGGUCUGAGCUCAGGGAACGUCCUAUCAGGUAGUUGGUAAGGUAACGGCUUACCAAGCCCAAGACGGGUAGCGGGUGUGAGAGCACGGCCCGCCGCAUCGGGACUGAGACACUGCCCGGACUUCUACGGAAGGCUGCAGUAACGAAUAUUCCACAAUGCGCGAAAGCGUGAUGGAGCGACGCCGCGUGAGGGAUGAAGGUCUUCGGAUUGUAAACCUCUGUCACCGGGGAAGAAACGCUUCAGGUUAAUAGUCUGAAGCCUGACUUAACCCGGAGAGGAAGCAGUGGCUAACUCUGUGCCAGCAGCCGCGGUAAUACAGAGACUGCAAGCGUUAUUCGGAUUCACUGGGCGUAAAGGGUGCGCAGGCGGCCAAGUGUGUGAGGUGUGAAAGCCCGGGGCUUAACCCCGGAAUUGCACCUCAAACUACAUGGCUAGAGCAUUGGAGAGGGUAGCAGAAUUCACGGUGUAGCAGUGAAAUGCGUAGAUAUCGUGAGGAAUACCAGAGGCGAAGGCGGCUACCUGGACAAUUGCUGACGCUCAGGCACGAAAGCGUGGGGAGCAAAAGGGAUUAGAUACCCCUGUAGUCCACGCCCUAAACGGUGCACACUAGGUCUUGGCGGAUUCGACCCCCCCAGGGCCCAAGCUAACGCGUUAAGUGUGCCGCCUGAGGACUACGGCCGCAAGGCUAAAACUCAAAGGAAUUGACGGGGGCCCGCACAAGCGGUGGAGUGUGUGGCUCAAUUCGAUGCAACGCGAAGAACCUUACCUGGCCUUGACAUGCAGGAGACCGGCGCUGAAAGGCGCCUUUCCUUCGGGACUGCUGCACAGGUGCUGCAUGGCUGUCGUCAGCUCGUGUCGUGAGAUGUUGCGUUAAGUCGCGCAACGAGCGCAACCCCUGUCCUUAGUUGCCAUCAUUAAGUUGGGCACUCUAGGGAGACAAACCCUCUUUGAGGGUGGGAAGGUGGGGAUGACGUCAAGUCAGGAUGGCCCUUACGGCCAGGGCUGCACACGUACUACAAUGCCCGGUACAGAGGGAAGCAAUACCGCGAGGUGGAGCAAAUCCUCAAAACCGGGCCCAGUUCAGAUUGUAGUCUGCAACUCGACUACAUGAAGUUGGAAUCGCUAGUAAUGGCGCAUCAGCUACGGCGCCGUGAAUAUGUUCCCGGGCCUUGUACACGCCGCCCGUCACGUCACGAAAGUGAGCUGUACUAGAAGACGCCGAGCCAACCCGCAAGGGAAGCAAGUGUCCACGGUAUGGUUCAUGAUUGGGGUG